CGUUGUACUGGUCCUUUAACUUUUUAUGACUCAUAGUUUAAGUAUUUGGGAAUUCCCCUCUAAAUAUGAGUUUGACACACUUGCAUUACGGAAAGUUAUUUUAUUCAAAAAGUAACAGAACGCAACAUUCAUGUAAUCCCCAGGUCUAUAUUUAGCAAUGCACAAUGUCUUUUUUUUUUUUUUCUUCCAAAAAAGCCUUCGUACUGAUUGUAAUUAAGACAGAUUGAAGGGAAAAAAAAAAAAAAAAGAAAGAAAGAAAAAAAGGAAAAAAAAAAAAGAGGGAGAAGAAAAUUGAAUAGGAAAAAUAGUGGCACUGAGAACAAUCAUAGUGUUACACACCACAGCAAACCAGGAGCUUUUUUUUUGCUUCUAAACUAUUCAAGCAAUGCUAGGCUGUUUGAACCCACUGCCCUCCAGUUGCAUGUAAAAGCACGCAGCUUAUCUCUUACCUGGCUGCUGAGGUACCUUCUUGGUGGGCUGACCGGUCACUGUAGAUCACCUGACCAAAGCCUGGAAAAAAAGAAAAUAAGAUCAGCUGACCAUGGUUGCUGGCUAGCUUCAAGCUCAAGCACUGCUCUCCACAGCACUUUGUCAUGUUGUUAUCAAGAUGGAGGUACACAUGGAUUUGCCAAGUGCCAGCCAGUUUGAACAUUUUAAAACAAUCUACAUCAGGUAAAAUUUAUCCUAGAAUUUGUAUUCCUGUUUGGGUUUCUGUUUGUUUGGUUUGGGUUUUGGUGCUGGUUUUUUUUUAAGUCAUUAUGGAAUAAUUCACAAGGUAAUAGGCAUGUAA
rnacentral:lncRNA from 1 species